rnacentral:rRNA from 1 species
UACAGAGGGUGCAAGCGUUAAUCGGAAUUACUGGGCGUAAAGCGUGCGCAGGCGGUUUUGCAAGCCGGAUGUGAAAUCCCCGGGCUUAACCUGGGAAUGGCAUUCGGGACUGCAAGGCUGGAGUGCGGCAGAGGAGACUGGAAUUCCUGGUGUAGCAGUGAAAUGCGUAGAUGUCAGGAGGAAUACCGAUGGCGAAGGCAGGUCUCUGGGCUGACACUGACGCUCAUGCACGAAAGCGUGGGGAGCAAACAGG